GAUGAACGCUGGCGGCGUGCCUAAUACAUGCAAGUCGAGCGAACGGACGAGAAGCUUGCUUCUCUGAUGUUAGCGGCGGACGGGUGAGUAACACGUGGAUAACCUACCUAUAAGACUGGGAUAACUUCGGGAAACCGGAGCUAAUACCGGAUAAUAUUUUGAACCGCAUGGUUCAAAAGUGAAAGACGGUCUUGCUGUCACUUAUAGAUGGAUCCGCGCUGCAUUAGCUAGUUGGUAAGGUAACGGCUUACCAAGGCAACGAUGCAUAGCCGACCUGAGAGGGGGAUCGGCCACACUUGAACUGGGACACGGUCCAGGCUCCUACGGGAGGCAGCAGUAGGGAAUCUUCCGCAAUUGGCGAAAGGCUUACGGAGCAACGCCGCGUGAGUGAUGAAGGUCUUCGGAUCGUAAAACCCUUUUAUUAGGGAAGAACAUAUGUGUAAGUAACUGUGCACAGCUUGACGGUACCUAAUCAGAAAGCCACGGCUAACUACGUG
rnacentral:rRNA from 1 species